UCAAUAUUUGAUUUUGGUUUUUCGUUUUAUAAAAUCUUUUAGAUUGCAUGAAAAUUUUUGAGAGUGGGUAGUUAAAUUAUAAAUUUUAUAUUUGUAAGUGUUUAUUGGAGUUUAAGUCUAUAAUAAGUAAGUUCUCAGCAUGGUUUAUUAUUAGAGUAUAUAUGAAAAUAUGAAUUAGAAAAGAUUUUUAGGUCUAGUAAAUUUUGUGCCAGCAUCUGCGGUUAUACUUAAAGGCCGAGUAAAACUUUUUGGUUUUAAUUAGACGAAUAUUAUAUAAAUUUUGAGGUAUUAUAGAUAAUAGAAGGUAAAAUUAAAUUGUUAUUAUAUAAAAAUUUAAAGUUUAAAGUCGAAGUUAAGAAAAAUUAAAGUAAAAACUAGGAUUAGAUACCCUAUUAUUUAAUUUUAAAUUUAUACGAACCUGGUUAGUAAUAGUUAUUUACUUAAAAACUAAAAAAUUUGGCGGUAAUUUAAUCUUUCCAGAGGAACUUGUUUUUUAAUCGAUAAACCACGAAGUAUCUUACUUAUUUUAUAAAACGUUAGUUUGUAUACCGUCAUUAUCAGGUAACUUCAAGAGAAUAAGUUACUUAAAUUAAAGUUAAAUAAAAAAAUUAGAUCAUGGUGCAGCUUAUAAAUAAGUUAAAAUGAGUUACAAUAAAUUGUUUUAAGACGGAUUUAUGAUAGAAUUAUUGUAAUGAAGGUGGAUUUGGUUGUAUUUAAAGUUUAAAAAGCUUGGAAGAUAAAAGCUCUAAAUUAUGUACAUAUCGCCCGUCGCUUUCAUUUAUAAGUGAAAUAAGUCGUAACAUAGUAGGUGUACUGGAAAGUGCACCUAGAACUAU
rnacentral:ncRNA from 1 species